CAUGCUCUAGCACCAUUUUUAGGGUAUCGUUUUAGUCUUUCUUUGCAUAUAGAUAAUGCAAAAGAGGAUUCCAUGGAUUAUCGCAUCAUGUAGAUGUGGAUUAGGAUGCCUUGUGAGAACUUCAUGGACAGAAUGGAAUCCUGGAAGGCGUUUCGUGGCUUGUGAGACUCGAUUGGUGGAUCGUAGUUGAGGAUGUGAUUAUUUUGAGUGGAUAGACCCGGUAAUGGGAGAUAGAGCAUCGAGAAUUAUACCAUGCCUAUUAAGGAGCAAUUGCAGAGAAGUUAGAGGCAAGAGAAGCUACUUUAGUUGUGGGUGGUCAUCUCAUUGCUCAUUAGCACUUUCAAGUGAUCUGACUUGUAAUAGCUUGUAGUAAUGAUCAUGGGAGGCGAUGAUAAGUGUUGUUUUGGUGUAGUGAUGAUUUUUUUGUAAGUAAACUAUUGUAAUUGACAUUAGGAUUGGUGAUGUUCAGCGUAGGAUUUCAGUGAAGCCUUACCAUGAUUCUCAGAUUUGCCUUUUGUAAUAAAUUGUGAUGGAAUGGAAAAGAGACAAAUUAUGGAA